AUUGAACGCUGGCGGCAGGCCUAACACAUGCAAGUCGAGCGAGCGGCGGACGGGUGAGUAAUGUAUGGGGACUGCCCGAUAGAGGGGGAUAACUACUGGAAACGGUGGCUAAUACCGCAUACUAUCGGAUAACCCAUAUGGGAUUAGCUAGUGGGUGGGGUAAAGGCUCACCAAGGCGACGAUCUCUAGCUGGUCUGAGAGGAGGAUCACCCACACUGGGACGGAGACACGGCCCAGACUCCUACGGAGGCGGCAGUGGGGAAUAUUGCACAAUGGGCUAAAGCCUGAUGCAGCCAUGCCGCGUGUAUGAAGAAGGCCUUCGGGUUUUAAAGUACUUUCAGUCGGGAGGCGUUACCGACAGAAGAAGCACCGGCUAACUCCGUGCCAGCAGCCGCGGUAAUAC
rnacentral:rRNA from 1 species